GGGUCUCAACCCCAGUCCUCUCCAACUGAAACUUGUCCAGCCUUUGCUCCUUCAUAGAGAAUGUCAUUAACACCAUGACCCACAGCGGAGGAAGGCAUUUCCUUGAUUAGCUCUAUUCUCCCAGCAAGUCCGUCUCACCUCUGCCCUGGUAGUGGAAAAACAAACAUGUUACCUAGCACAGUGAGCUCACACCUUGAAUCCCAGCACUUGAGGAGGCAGAGGCAAGCGCAUCUCUGUGAGUUCGAGGCCAGCCAGGACUACAAAGUGAGACCCUCUCAAAGCAAAACACCAACAGAGAUGCCCCUGUCUGUUGUGAGCAAAGAAACCCAGAGUGGAGCUGACUGAUGGAAGCAUGUCCUACUACGGCGAGUCUUCGGUGGUGUGUGAGCCACCAGUGUCCUUAUUGUCUAAAGGUCUCAGUGAAUGAAGAAGAGUCUAGACCAAUCAAUCACCCAGCACACAGAGCCGCUUGCUGAAGUACAGAGAGGAGGGGGAUCAGCACAAAGACCAGUUUGCUCCCACAAAAUACACUUGAAAAAACAAAAAGCC
ensembl:lncRNA